GAUGAACGCUGGCGGCGUGCCUAAUACAUGCAAGUCGAGCGAACGGACGAGAAGCUUGCUUUUCUGAUGUUAGCGGCGGACGGGUGAGUAACACGUGGAUAACCUACCUAUAAGACUGGGAUAACUUCGGGAAACCGGAGCUAAUACCGGAUAAUAGUUUGAACCGCAUGGUUCAAAAGUGAAAGACGGUCUUGCUGUCACUUAUAGAUGGAUCCGCGCUGCAUUAGCUAGUUGGUAAGGUAACGGCUUACCAAGGCAACGAUGCAUAGCCGACCUGAGAGGGUGAUCGGCCACACUGGAACUGAGACACGGUCCAGACUCCUACGGGAGGCAGCAGUAGGGAAUCUUCCGCAAUGGGCGAAAGCCUGACGGAGCAACGCCGCGUGAGUGAUGAAGGUCUUCGGAUCGUAAAACUCUGUUAUUAGGGAAGAACAUAUGUGUAAGUAACUGUGCACAUCUUGACGGUACCUAAUCAGAAAGCCACGGCUAACCACGUG
rnacentral:rRNA from 1 species